GGAGAGGAAGAAACUGGUGUUUCAGCCGGUCUUCAAAACCGGUAACUGACGGAUAAAACCGGCGGUGGCAGGUUCGAUUCCUGCCCUCUCUGCAA
rnacentral:tRNA from 1 species